GCGAAUGUGGUGAAGCGGUUAACACAGCGGGUUGUGGUCCCGUGAUGCGCGAGUUCGAAUCUCGUCAUUCGCCCCA
rnacentral:tRNA from 1 species